ACAACAAGUAUCCCUCCCAUCAGAACACUUCCUCCAGAUGCCUCCUCCAACAUCCUGGGGAUCAACCAAUCACAGCACAGCAAGCAGUGGGCAACAAGUGUACAUGUGUCAUAUGAAAUUACAAGAUAAACUACUCAAAGUGCGAAUAGAUCGGGCCAUAAGUGAAGGUGUACCGGGACAAACAACAAGUAUCCCUCCCAUCAGAACACUUCCUCCAGAUGCCUCCUCCAACAUCCUGGGGAUCAACCAAUCACAGCACAGCAAGCAGUGGGCAACAAGUGUACAUGUGUCAUAUGAAAUUACAAGAUAAACUACUCAAAGUGCGAAUAGAUCGGGCCAUAAGUGAAGGUGUACCGGGACAAACAACAAGUAUCCCUCCCAUCAGAACACUUCCUCCAGAUGCCUCCUCCAACAUCCUGGGGAUCAACCAAUCACAGCACAGCAAGCAGUGGGCAACAAGUGUACAUGUGUCAUAUGAAAUUACAAGAUAAACUACUCAAAGUGCGAAUAGAUCGGGCCAUAAGUGAAGGUGUACCGGGACAAACAACAAGUAUCCCUCCCAUCAGAACACUUCCUCCAGAUGCCUCCUCCAACAUCCUGGGGAUCAACCAAUCACAGCACAGCAAGCAGUGGGCAACAAGUGUACAUGUGUCAUAUGAAAUUACAAGAUAAACUACUCAAAGUGCGAAUAGAUCGGGCCAUAAGUGAAGGUGUACCGGGACAAACAACAAGUAUCCCUCCCAUCAGAACACUUCCUCCAGAUGCCUCCUCCAACAUCCUGGGGAUCAACCAAUCACAGCACAGCAAGCAGUGGGCAACAAGUGUACAUGUGUCAUAUGAAAUUACAAGAUAAACUACUCAAAGUGCGAAUAGAUCGGGCCAUAAGUGAAGGUGUACCGGGACAAACAACAAGUAUCCCUCCCAUCAGAACACUUCCUCCAGAUGCCUCCUCCAACAUCCUGGGGAUCAACCAAUCACAGCACAGCAAGCAGUGGGCAACAAGUGUACAUGUGUCAUAUGAAAUUACAAGAUAAACUACUCAAAGUGCGAAUAGAUCGGGCCAUAAGUGAAGGUGUACCGGGACAAACAACAAGUAUCCCUCCCAUCAGAACACUUCCUCCAGAUGCCUCCUCCAACAUCCUGGGGAUCAACCAAUCACAGCACAGCAAGCAGUGGGCAACAAGUGUACAUGUGUCAUAUGAAAUUACAAGAUAAACUACUCAAAGUGCGAAUAGAUCGGGCCAUAAGUGAAGGUGUACCGGGUACGCGAGCGCGUAGUUUUCAGACUUCUCCAUUUAUUCUUGUGUGUUUCCCCUACACAA
rnacentral:lncRNA from 1 species